CACAGACCAGUUCUAGAUUUCCAUGAAUGUUCUGGACACCAGGCUAUUCCAGGUAAAUCUGUAUCCCAGUCAGAUUACAGAUGUUUAGGUGCUCUAUUGACAUCUAGAAGAAGCAUACUGGGAGACAGGCCACACAUCUUCCAUCAUAUCUGGGUGGCUGUUGGACAGGGUGGUCAAGGUCAUCAGACUUCUUUCAAAUGAUAAUAUCACUUCAUUAAAACUCAGGCUUGAAUUUUCAUUCUGCCAUAACUAUAUUGAAUGAGGUUAUAAACAUCUUGUCUAGAAAGAUACUUGAUGGUGGAUUUGAGAGAUGCACUGAAGGGCAUGUAUGGAAGUUGCUGAAUACUAAUUGUAAUCAAUAGCUUUCUUCUAGAAUGUUUUGGUUAACUGAUGGGUUUAGGUAGCAAGAUAAGGCUAAUACCCUGGAAUGUCAUCUUCUGUAGAUCUUGUGCUCCCUUUUAAAAAUGUAUUUGGGCCAAGCAGAAUCUAACAGGGAACAGAUUCAGAGAUCAGGCCCUUAUUUUAAUUAAAAAAACAAACAAACUGGAAAUGUCCCUCUUUUAAUGCAUGUGAUUUUUUAUAUAUAUAUGGUGUGAACAGGAUAUUGUUUAACUUAAACUGUAUAUAAAUCCAGAUAAGUGGUUGAUGAAUGAGGCCUGUAAUCCCUGUUUAUAUAAAAGGUCCACUGCAAAUCAUAUUUUGAUGUAAUUGGCAUAGUAAAAGUGUCCAGAAUAAGAUCACUGAUUGAUUAUCUUGUUGUUCAGUAAAGCCCCUUGAAAUUAAUGGAAAGACACCUGUUGACUUCAAUGAGCUUUCGAUCAGAUCCUAAUAGAAAACUGCCAUAACUUUGUACAUCUAAUUCCACUUUAGGGACUAGAUAGUACUUAAUGUACCAAUGUAACAUCCAAAAUGUGUAUAAUUGCAGGAGUCUCUAACAAAAUGUCCUUCAGGACAGCUAAUGUCAAGGAUGUGUUUACAGGGGCAUAGCUGAACCUGUUCUCACUUCCUCCUUUAAUGUGCUCCCUCUGAAACAAACCC